UACGGAGGGUGCAAGCGUUAUCCGGAUUCACUGGGUUUAAAGGGUGCGUAGGUGGGCAGGUAAGUCAGUGGUGAAAUCUCCGGGCUUAACCCGGAAACCGCCAUUGAUACUAUUUGUCUUGAAUACCGUGGAGGUCAGCGGAAUAUGUCAUGUAGCGGUGAAAUGCUUAGAUAUGACAUAGAACACCAAUUGCGAAGGCAGCUGGCUACACGAAUAUUGACACUGAUGCACGAAAGCGUGGGGAUCAAACAGG
rnacentral:rRNA from 1 species